AACGCAUAUUGCGCUCUGUCUCUGAUAGAGCAUGCCUGUUUGAGAAUCUAAUGUACUAUUCUACUGCUUGUUCUUUUGUCUGGCUGCAAAGUCUGGCAAGGGCGCAGAAGAGACUUGAGGCUUCUCUAAGGAGUGCCUUGGAAUUUAUUGACUAGACGCCGCGCAGAUGCUUGAUCUGGUGCGAUGCUGGCUGAACCGUAUUUGAAUGGAGCCGUGGCUUCUCAGUAUGCGAACUAAGCAGCAGCGCUGGAGAGUCUGUGGCCCGGCUAGUGGACUUGAAAGCCUCUGGCUUGAACCAUGGUCUCAAAUCAGGUAGGACUACCCGCUGAACUUAA
rnacentral:misc_RNA from 1 species